rnacentral:rRNA from 1 species
CGGUGAACGGACACACUGGAACUGAGACACGGUCCAGACUCCUACGGGAGGCAGCAGUAGGGAAUAUUGCUCAAUGGGGGAAACCCUGAAGCAGCAACGCCGCGUGGAGGAUGAAGGUUUUAGGAUUGUAAACUCCUUUUGUUAGAGAAGAUAAUGACGGUAUCUAACGAAUAAGCACCGGCUAACUCCGUGCCAGCAGCCGCGGUAAUACGGAGGGUGCAAGCGUUACUCGGAAUCACUGGGCGUAAAGAGUGCGUAGGCGGGAUAGUCAGUCAGGUGUGAAAUCCUAUGGCUUAACCAUAGAACUGCAUUUGAAACUACUAUUCUAGAGUGUGGGAGAGGUAGGUGGAAUUCUUGGUGUAGGGGUAAAAUCCGUAGAGAUCAAGAGGAAUACUCAUUGCGAAGGCGACCUGCUGGAACAUUACUGACGCUGAUUGCGCCGAAAGCGUGGGGGAGCAAACAGGAUUAGAUACCCUGGUAGUCCACGCCCUAAACGAUGGAUGCUAGUUGUUGGAAGGCUUAUCUCU